AGUGAACGCUGGCGGUAGGCCUAACACAUGCAAGUCGAACGGCAGCACAGUAAGAGCUUGCUCUUACGGGUGGCGAGUGGCGGACGGGUGAGGAAUACAUCGGAAUCUACUUUUUCGUGGGGGAUAACGUAGGGAAACUUACGCUAAUACCGCAUACGACCUACGGGUGAAAGCAGGGGAUCUUCGGAACUUGCGCGAUUGAAUGAGCCGAUGUCGGAUUAGCUAGUUGGCGGGGUAAAUGCCCACCAAGGCGACGAUCCGUAGCUGGUCUGAGAGGAUGAUCAGCCACACUGGAACUGAGACACGGUCCAGACUCCUACGGGAGGCAGCAGUGGGGAAUAUUGGACAAUGGGCGCAAGCCUGAUCCAGCCAUACCGCGUGGGUGAAGAAGGCCUUCGGGUUGUAAAGCCCUUUUGUUGGGAAAGAAAAGCAGCAGGUUAAUACCCCGCUGUUCUGACGGUACCCAAAGAAUAAGCACCGGCUAACUUCGUG
rnacentral:rRNA from 1 species